ensembl:processed_transcript C430014B12Rik RIKEN cDNA C430014B12 gene
GGGGCCGCUCCGCCCAGUCUGGAGAGGGGUGUCACUGCCGCGGCGCUAGGCCCGGAGUCCUGCUUGGGGAGACUAGAGCACUCACCCUGGGCCUGCUGGAGAGUCCCCGGAGAGAGGGUCGCCGCCCGCCGGCUCCGGGGCACUCGGGUGAGCGCUCGCAGAGGCCGUUGACCGAGCGCACCGAGGCGCCCGGGCAAAGAAGCGGCGGAGCGGCCGCGACGGGCCGGGACAGACGCGAGAACGGCCAGGACUGACCCCUUCCAGGAGCCGUAGCGGAAGUAGGUUUCUGGUCAUGUGACGAGAGAAGGGCGGAUGUUGCAUGCAGGCUCCUGAGACGUCGACGCGGAGCCAUUUUUGUCGUGGGCAAAGUACUUCCGUCUCAGGGAAGGGGGUGAAGCAGCAGAGGAUGGGCUUCCUGCCUGCGUGAGAGUCUCCACACACGGGGUUUGUUAUCUCCUUUGAGGGUAGAUCAGAAGCAAGUCUCUCUCACUACCCCCUGCACCGCCGGUCCAGUCCAGUAUAUGGGAAAUAGUUUGGAACUGAAGAAAACAACUUGUUAAGCUCAAUUAAGUAACUGUGGAAUGUAUCUGUAUACUUAAGAACAUGUUUUAAGACAUAUAGCAGCUGUGUACAGUACAGUAAGGUUUUACCCAGUGG